rnacentral:rRNA from 1 species
UGGGGAAUAUUGCGCAAUGGACGAAAGUCUGACGCAGCAACGCCGCGUGAGGGAUGACGGCCUUCGGGUUGUAAACCUCUUUUGGCAGGGAAGAAGCGAAAGUGACGGUACCUGCAGAAAAAGCACCGGCUAACUACGUGCCAGCAGCCGCGGUAAUACGUAGGGUGCAAGCGUUGUCCGGAAUUAUUGGGCGUAAAGAGCUCGUAGGCGGUUUGUCGCGUCUGCUGUGAAAACCCGAGGCUCAACCUCGGGCCUGCAGUGGGUACGGGCAGACUAGAGUGCGGUAGGGGAGAUUGGAAUUCCUGGUGUAGCGGUGGAAUGCGCAGAUAUCAGGAGGAACACCGAUGGCGAAGGCAGAUCUCUGGGCCGUAACUGACGCUGAGGAGCGAAAGCAUGGGGAGCGAAC